AUUGAACGCUGGCGGCAGGCCUAACACAUGCAAGUCGAGCGGAUGAAGGGAGCUUGCUCCUGGAUUCAGCGGCGGACGGGUGAGUAAUGCCUAGGAAACUGCCUGGUAGUGGGGGAUAACGUCCGGAAACGGGCGCUAAUACCGCAUACGUCCUGUGUGAGAAAGUGGGGGAUCUUCGGACCUCACGCUAUCAGAUGAGCCUAGGUCGGAUUAGCUAGUUGGUGGGGUAAAGGCCUACCAAGGCGACGAUCCGUAACUGGUCUGAGAGGAUGAUCAGUCACACUGGAACUGAGACACGGUCCAGACUCCUACGGGAGGCAGCAGUGGGGAAUAUUGGACAAUGGGCGAAAGCCUGAUGCAGCCAUGCCGCGUGUGUGAAGAAGGUCUUCGGAUUGUAAAGCACUUUAAGUUGGGAGGAAGGGCAGUAAGUUAAUACCUUGCUGUUUUGACGUUACCAACAGAAUAGGCACCGGCUAACUUCGUG
rnacentral:rRNA from 1 species